rnacentral:rRNA from 1 species
AUUGAACGCUGGCGGCAGGCCUAACACAUGCAAGUCGAACGAGUGGCGGACGGGUGAGUAAUGUCUGGGAAACUGCCCGAUAGAGGGGGAUAACUACUGGAAACGGUAGCUAAUACCGCAUACUAUCGGAUGUGCCCAUAUGGGAUUAGCUAGUAGGUGGGGUAACGGCUCACCUAGGCGACGAUCCCUAGCUGGUCUGAGAGGAUGACCAGCCACACUGGGACUGAGACACGGUCCAGACUCCGACGGGAGGCAGCAGUGGGGAAUAUUGCACAAUGGGGGCAAGCCUGAUGCAGCCAUGCCGCGUGUAUGAAGAAGGCCUUAGGGUUGUAAAGUACUUUCGGCGGGGAGGCGGUACUCGCAGAAGAAGCACCGGCUAACUCCGUGCCAGCAGCCGCGGUAAUUC